AUUGAACGCUGGCGGCAGGCCUAACACAUGCAAGUCGAGCGGAUGAAGGGAGCUUGCUCCUGGAUUCAGCGGCGGACGGGUGAGUAAUGCCUAGGAAUCUGCCUGGUAGUGGGGGAUAACGUCCGGAAACGGGCGCUAAUACCGCAUACGUCCUGAGGGAGAACCCCCGCGCUCUUCGGACCUCACGCUCUCAGAUGAGCCUAGGUCGGAUUAGCUAGUUGGUGGGGUAAAGGCCUACCAGGGCGACGAUCCGUAACUGGUCUGAGAGGAGGAUCAGUCACACUGGAACUGAGACACGGUCCAGACUCCUACGGGAGGCAGCAGUGGGGAAUAUUGGACAAUGGGCGAAAGCCUGAUCCAGCCAUGCCGCGUGUGUGAAGAAGGUCUUCGGAGUGGAAAGCACUUUAAGUUGGGAGGAAGGGCAGUAAGUUAAUACCUUGCUGUUUUGACGUUACCAACAGAAUAAGCACCGGCUAACUUCGUG
rnacentral:rRNA from 1 species